CUCGGCUCCGCGCCGCCCGCGCCCGCCCUGGGCCGGGAGGGCCGCGGGAGGCUCACGCAGGGCCCGCCGCCGCCACCGCCAUCUUGGCGCCGCGCUUCGCUUCGCCCCGCCCCGCGCCAGGCAACGGCGCUCCAACGCCGAUCGCAUCGAGCGGAGCCGGCGCGGGACGGGGGGCGAGUUCUCCUCAAAGAGGGGGAAUGCGGAGAAGGGGAUUUAGGAUGAGAGGGACAGGGGCUGCUGAUGUUGAUCCUUUCUGCAGUCAUCUCCAUCACUGCAUUUCCCCUCCACUGCAGGACCUAACACACCCUCAGGUGGUUCAUACCUCCAUACAGCAGAUGUUUGCUCUCCAGACCUUGCUGUUCAACCUUCACUUACAGGUGAAGCUCUUCCAUUUCUUAACAUGCUAACCCUGUCAGUCUGUCACUUCGUUUGGAGGUGAGGUGUAAGGCUGCCAUGUCCCACCUCAUUACUCAUGUGCAGACUCACUGCAUGGAGCACCAUCUGGCACAGCUAUCACUAACACUGCAUCGUGUUAAAUUUAGAGCAAUUUCCUGCACUUACGUGCAAAGCUGCAGCAUUCACGUGCUGUGAGGAACAUGAAUCUGAGAGGAAACUGAGGGAGAGAAUCCUUUGAUAGCAAAGAGACUUUUCAAGGACACAGCAAGGAGCUUGAUUUAAGACACUUGAAAACAACAUUGAUUUUAAAGCCGGAAGACUGGAAGAGGAUAUUUCUCCCUUGAAGGAAAAAAAAAAAUGUUAAUUUAUUACAUUACAUUCCUCCCCUUUCCAAUUUCAGUACUUCCUCCAGUGCCAGAACCUGCAAUAGGAAGUGAGUAAAACACCCCAGUAUAAGCUAAAUAAUUCAAGGUGAGUUUGGGGAUCUUCUGGGGAGUAGAACCUUGCAUGGAUACCUCUGUGCAGUCAAGUAUAUAAAUAACUGCAUGCAAGACUAAGAUUGCCUUAGUAACCAUGUUAAAAACACCAUCUUUGGGAACAGACAGAGCAAAAUUGAAAGUGUUUAUGGAUGAGUUAUUUGAGAAAAAACUGUGCAGGCAUAGAAUGAAAAGAUGGCAAAUAAGGAGGAUCCAGAAACAGAAAUAAUAGUUAUUUAGUGGUGCAGGAGGCAGAGAGAGGAGCAACAGAACUGUCAUGCAAUAAUGGGUGUAUAUACACCAGUAGUGCAACUGCUAAACUGUAACAGUCAUGUGUAACCUGAGUGAGAAGCACAGAAAGAGUAGUGUCUUAUUAGAAGUCGAUUAGUUGACAAGUUAGCUUCUUGAUUUAUUAGAUGAUUAGUAGAGCUCUGAUUAGUCAAGUCUAGAAAGUCUAGUCUUUUGGAUCAGUCCUAUCCCAAGCCUGCUGUAGAGCAGGCAGCUGGACCCAUAACAAAAUCCUGCAAUUCAUCACUGGUUAGGACAGGUGUCUGUUCUUUGCUCACUCUCUUUAAUCCAUUGAGAAGCUCUGAGGAAUGCUCAACUGGCCUCCCAGAUCUUAGUAACAUUGGAGUGUUCUUAAAGCCUGCAAAUGCACAGGCCCUUUUUGUAACUGCAUUAAGUAUCAUUAACAGAAUUAACUUAGGAUUCAAGAACUUGGAAAUAACUUCCCUGUAGGCAUGCUAUUCCUUGGGCUCCCCAAAGAAGUAUUUAAUGUACCGUUAGUACAGAAACUUUGAUGUGGAGCAAUUGCUGUAUCUGCCACACUGACUCCUAAGUCAGAGAACUUUAAGGCCAAACCUUGUUAUAAGUGUUCUAAAUAAAAUUGUGCUUAAGGAAUUUCAGGCUCAUGGCUGUGAAUGAGGAAUUGCACUGAUCCAGCAGCACUUGAUGCUACAGUUUCCAGGACAGCCAGCUUCAGUGUACAACUCAAAUCAAGAGCAGCAGGUGGCUGCUUAUACCCGUCCCUGGUGUUAAACUUGCAGGUGGCUUUGAUGUUCAUUGCCAUAUCCAUUUUCUUCCCAGUUCUGUCUUGUUCAUUUUAGAAUGCAAACUUCUAGAAACAGCAGUAGUAUUGUGUUUAAGUAAGGUAGAUAAGCAUUCCGACUGCGUGAUUGAGAAAGAUUAUUCUCCAUUCUCCUCUUCAGCACCCAAUACAAUGUAUGCAACAAACCACCACUGUUAAACAGCGAUAACACAAAGAAGACAGAAUAUCUUUCACUCUUCAAAAGAAGUUCCCACUGGCAUACUUUGUGUACCAGGAAUUACAAAAUACAGAGCUGCCUUAGAAAAGCCUACAUUUUAAAGAGUAACCAAAGUCAAACCCAGAUGUAUUGACAACCAAUAACGUGUGUUUCAUGAAGGAGUUUAUUGUAAGAAUGUACAGAUAUUUCUGGGGCUUUGCCACUUCUUCAUAAAAUAGCAGAGCAGUCUUAUUAAUGAACACAGGCAAGUUAAAUCAUACGCUCAGAAGUAUUCUUCACCUGUAAGGAAAAUUGAAGCAAAUUAAAAUCUUUCAAUCAAUGUUUCUUUUUAAAACGCAUCACCUCUGAUUUUAAGUGCUUUAACAACUCAUUCUUCCUGACUCCCUCCUCCCCUUCAACUCUCUCUCAAGACUACUUUUAUUUGAAACUUUAAAUGCUUAUUUUGCUACAAACUUCUCUUCAGGUGUAAUGUUUUACAAAUAGACAUUUUUAAGUCACAGCCCAAUGUCAGGGCACUACGAAAAAAUGAAGCAAUACUUUCAAAUAAAUCCAAUAACUCAGAGAUUAAAAAAAACCACAGAAAACU